GUGCCAGCAGCCGCGGUAAUACGGAGGGGGCUAGCGUUGUUCGGAAUUACUGGGCGUAAAGCGCACGUAGGCGGACUGUUAAGUCGGGGGUGAAAUCCCGGGGCUCAACCCCGGAACUGCCUUCGAUACUGGUCGGCUAGAGUUCGAGAGGGGGAUGCGGAAUUCCGCGUGUAGCAGUGAAAUGCGUAGAUAUGCGGAGGAACACCUGAGGCGAAGGCGGCAUCCUGGAUCGACACUGACGCUGAGGCCCGAAAGCGUGGGGAGCAAACAGGAUUAGAUACCCUGGUAGUCCACGCCCUAAACGAUGUCUACUAGCCGUUGCGGGUAUCGACCCCUGCAGUGGCGCAGCUAACGCGAUAAGUAGACCGCCUGGGGAGUACGGCCGCAAGGUUAAAACUCAAAUGAAUUGACGGGG
rnacentral:rRNA from 1 species